CGUAGGGGGCAAGCGUUGUCCGGAUUUAUUGGGCGUAAAGAGCUCGUAGGCGGUUCGGUAAGUUGGGUGUGAAACCUCCAGGCUCAACCUGGAGACGCCACCCGAUACUGCUGUGACUAGAGUCCGGUAGGGGAGCGUGGAAUUCCUGGUGUAGCGGUGAAAUGCGUAGGUAUACUGGAGGAACACCGGUGGCGAAGGCGGCAUCCUGGACCGGCAUUGACGCUGAGGCGCGAAAGCCAGGGGAGCAAACGGG
rnacentral:rRNA from 1 species